rnacentral:tRNA from 1 species
AAACUUAGGAUAAAUAAACCUAAAGCCUUCAAAGCUUUCAAUAAGAGUUAAAGUCUCUUAGUUUCUG